CGAGCACGCGCGUGUGGCAUAUCAAUAAGCGGAGGAAAAGAAACUAACAAGGAUUCCCCUAGUAACGGCGAGUGAAGCGGGAAGAGCUCAAAUUUGAAAUCUUCAAGGUUUUACCUUGACGAAUUGUAGUCUAAAGAAGUGUUUUCGGUUAGAGGAGUAGUAAAAGUUCUUUGGAAUAGGACAUCAUAGAGGGUGAGAAUCCCGUAUUUGACUAUUCUUUCUAGCUUUGUGAUACACUUUCAAAGAGUCGGAUUGUUUGGGAAUGCAGUCCAAAAUGGGUGGUAAAUUUCAUCUAAAGCUAAAUAUUGGCGAGAGACCGAUAGCGAACAAGUACCGUGAGGGAAAGAUGAAAAGAACUUUGAAAAGAGAGUUAAUCAGUACGUGAAAUUGUCAAAAGGGAAGCGUUUGACACCAGUGUUGUUUUUCCGAAAAUCAAUUAUGAAUGGCUUGAUUUUAAGUUUCAUGACCUUAAAAGCUUGUUUCUUAUUUUUCAUGUCUUUCGUAAUGCACUUUUCGGUUAACAAGUCAACAUCAAUUUCUUUUGUUGUAAAAGGUUAAGAGGAAGGUGGCUUUACUUUUCGGCGUAAGUGUUUAUAGCCUUGUACCUCUGCAAUCGGAGAGAUUGAGGUCUGCAGCGUAGAUCCUUCGGGGUUAGAUACAUUUGUGCUAAGUUAUAGCUUUUCAUAGACAACUUGUUGACUAUGUUUAGUCUUGUAGCUUACUCGCUUAUGCUAUUUUACCUACGCUUAGGAUGUUGAUGUGAUACUGCGAGCA
rnacentral:rRNA from 1 species